rnacentral:rRNA from 1 species
UGCGUAGGCGGCUCUCUAAGUCGGAUGUGAAAACUCUGGGCUCAACCCAGAGCCUGCAUCCGAAACUGGAGGGCUAGGGUUCUGGAGGGGAAAGCGGAAUUCCUGGUGUAGCGGUGAAAUGCGUAGAUAUCAGGAGGAACACCGGUGGCGAAGGCGGCUUUCUGGACAGAUACCGACGCUGAGGCACGAAAGCUAGGGGAGCAAACA